AUCCGUUUCUUCCCCGGCGUGCCAAACCUGUGCCGUGCCCUAAUCUUGUGCCAAGCGGUUUCCUUCCUCGCGAAACAAAAACCGAGCCGUUUCUCUUCCUCUUCUCGUCUUUGCCCUAGCACAGCAUCUUCUUCUCUUCCUCCUCUCCCUCCCUAGCUUUCGUCGAGCGACGACGCCACUACAGUCGACCGCCGAGCCUUAGCGCCGGCCACCGCUGAGCCCUCUGCCGAUCGCCGAUCUCCCUUCUUCCCUCUGUGCUGCCAGAGCCGACCACCACAGCCGACGCUGAUCAUCGGCAACAGGAGCUCCAGCGCCGCACCCUGCCCUAGCGCCGGCCUUCUGCCAGCGACACCGGCCUCACCUUCACCUCCUUCUUGAGCCGCACCGUGCCCUAGAUUUUCUCUUGUUGUCGGAUUAGAUUCAAGGAGGAGGGUCGACAGAGACUAGAAGGCUGUUGCUUGAUCAGUGGCAUCCUGCUGGGUUCGUUUGAUAUUUGUGAGGUGAAGUAGGAUUUGUUGUGGGCUGUUCCUAGUUUCGGCAGCAACUUUCUCCAGCAACGCCGGUGUCCUCCCGUGCCCUAAUUUCUGACUCAGUGCCCUAACUGUGAUCUGGGAGUGGGGAAGGUUUCCUGUAAGGUUUGCUUUGCUGUGGAUUGAUCUUGGAUCCGGCAGUCACACCUUCCAGCUUCUCUUUGAUUUUUAGCAGCAACAUCGGCUGUGGGUAUUGAGGUAUAUAGUUAAUAUAGUAUUACUACAGUGGUAACCACUUGCAACUAUACACGGCUUAUUAAUGCUAUGUUCUUGGUAACGAAUUAUUACUUUCUUAUGCCAUGUUUAAUUGAUGAAAACUA